AUCUCUGACCUUUUAUGACGGACG
rnacentral:siRNA from 1 species